GAAGAAGGGAGCUUGCUCCCGGAUGUUAGCGGCGGACGGGUGAGUAACACGUGGGUAACCUGCCUGUAAGACUGGGAUAACUCCGGGAAACGGGAGCUAAUACCGGAUAGUUCCUUGAACCGCAUGGUUCAAGGCAUGAAAGACGGUUUCGGCUGUCACUUACAGAUGGACCCGCGGCGCAUUAGCUAGUUGGUGGGGUAAUGGCUCACCAAGGCGACGAUGCGUAGCCGACCUGAGAGGGUGAUCGGCAACACUGGGACUGAGACACGGCCCAGAGUCCUACGGGAGGCAGCAGUAGGGAAUCUUCCGCAAUGGACGAAAGUCUGACGGAGCAACGCCGCGUGAGUGAUGAAGGUUUUCGGAUCGUAAAGCUCUGUUGUUAGGGAAGAACAAGUGCGAGAGUAACUGCUCGCACCUUGACGGUACC
rnacentral:rRNA from 2 species